CCUACGGGGGGCAGCAGUGGGGGAUAUUGCACAAUGGGGGGAACCCUGAUGCAGCGACGCCGCGUGGGUGAAGAAGCGCCUCGGCGCGUAAAGCCCUGUCAGCAGGGAAGAAAAUGACGGUACCUGAAGAAGAAGCCCCGGCUAACUACGUGCCAGCAGCCGCGGGAAUACGUAGGGGGCAAGCGUUAUCCGGAUUUACUGGGUGUAAAGGGGGCGCAGACGGCGAUGCAAGCCAGGAGUGAAAGCCCGGGGCCCAACCCCGGGACUGCUCUUGGAACUGCGUGGCUGGAGUGCAGGAGGGGCAGGCGGAAGUCCUGGUGUAGCGGUGAAAUGCGUAGAUAUCAGGAGGAACACCGGUGGCGAAGGCGGCCUGCUGGACUGCAACUGACGUUGAGGCCCGAAAGCGUGGGGAGCAAACAGGAUUAGAUACCCGAGUAGUC
rnacentral:rRNA from 1 species